CGGGACAUGGUAUUGUGGUUUUUGGCCUGAGUGCUGAGUUUUGCACCAAGGCAUUUUGACGACCUACGAGGCGUGGGUCACGUAUUUCGGGUAUGGCCCGGCGGGAUGUUAAAUAAGUUUCCCAGAUUUCGGGGUGUUGAGCUUUAAGGAAGUCCAUGAGUUCGGACUCCAUGGUGAAUAAUUUUGAUGUGUAGGUAAAUGACACGUGUAAAAUAGAUCCACUAGUCCCGGCGCUUUAAGGGCGCCGGGCUGAGUACCUAGCUUUAGCCUAGUGCAAAAAGCAGGGGAUUUUUUUUUAAUUCAAUAUAUUAGGUAUUAAGGGGAAAAUAAAUGACACUAACUUACGAGGGGGCUCGUUGCGCCAUCUACAUAAGACUAGCACUAAAUUUAACAAACAACGCUAAGCCCCCCUUGCGGGAGGUACAAAUGGCCGUAUCGGCCACGCGAUGACGUCACUGACACAACUGCACAACUUUUUUAUGCUUUUUCUUGGAACGACCAAACAAUGGCCCACAGUAAUUAGGAUUUUAACAUCAGACAGUUAUGGUCCCCUUUGCAGAUUGAGUCACUAAAUUCUUUGUAAUUAUCUUUAAUGAAGAGUAAAAUGGAUAAAAGUAAGUAAUUAGUUAUAAAAGUAUGUUUGUGGAAAUAAACCUAAAAACGUUCUUAGAUAUUUCUUGUUCUAAAUAUUAUGUAUAUUAUCGGUUUGUAAUUUGCUAAAAACGAACUGGGAAAUCCCAACAAACUGGGUUAAAUAAGACAUUGGUAUGACCACUCUCCGUAGACGAAUUAUCGAAGGGUAAGUACAUCUUUAGUUCUGAUAUCAAUAACAAUUUUAAUAAAACCAACACUGAUCAUAAAAAAAGUCAUUGAGUAAGGAGGUCUGUAAAUGUUCACAAUCUAAAUAAAGUAAGUCACCAGCUUAUGUGAUGACGUGUGGAUGAUCCCAAGGGUUCUCGCGAAAGAUCAGCGUUGGUACUUCAAUAGGAGCAUCCAGCAUUUAUAGCUGAGCGAGGGCCCAAUCCGGUGCGAAGGAAUUAAAUACCAGCAGGAACACUCAAUCUAUGGAUGCAUAGGAAUAGAAAUUGGACAAAGACAACAGUCAUCAUUCUGUAUAUUUUCAAAAUAAUUUAAUGUAUUCUAGAAGGAAACUACAAAAUUAUCAUAUAAAAGACUUCAUGACAUCUGGAUUUAUGGUGCAAAGAAAUUUUAAGAAAUUAAUAUGAAGAUAUAAUCAAUGGAGCAUAGAAAAAAGAAUUGUGAACAGCAUACAAUAGCAUCAUUUUCUCUACAUUUUUUUAAAAACUUCCUUCUCAGUGUUACUUUAUGCCAAUAGAUUAUCUUCAACUAGAUGGAUGAUUGGAUGCAUCUCUUUGAAAGUUAUAUCUCCUGUAAAUAUCUCCAAAUAAACAUUGAAUGAAGAAACCGCCCAAGCAACACUAGCUGCUGUUGCGGCUGCGGCUGCGGCCGAGUGUCGCCGCGACAUCGGUGCGCCGCCUCCGCCUCCGCCACCGCAGACAAUUGCGAUUCUUUGAAAUAGUUUUACUUGUUGUUAGUCUAAUUAAGAUUAAUUUGACAAUUUAGUAGGCAUGAAUUGAAAAAAAUGAUACAGUAAUUAGGGAUUAUCAUUUUUUUUUCACAAAUAA